rnacentral:rRNA from 1 species
AGUGAACGCUGGCGGUAGGCCUAACACAUGCAAGUCGAACGGCAGCACAGUAAGAGCUUGCUCUUACGGGUGGCGAGUGGCGGACGGGUGAGGAAUACAUCGGAAUCUACUUUUUCGUGGGGGAUAACGUAGGGAAACUUACGCUAAUACCGCAUACGACCUACGGGUGAAAGCAGGGGAUCUUCGGACCUUGCGCGAUUGAAUGAGCCGAUGUCGGAUUAGCUAGUUGGCGGGGUAAAGGCCCACCAAGGCGACCAUCCGUAGCUGGUCUGAGAGGAUGAUCAGCCACACUGGAACUGAGACACGGUCCAGACUCCUACGGGAGGCAGCAGUGGGGAAUAUUGGACAAUGGGCGCAAGCCUGAUCCAGCCAUACCGCGUGGGUGAAGAAGGCCUUCGGGUUGUAAAGCCCUUUUGUUGGGAAAGAAAAGCAGCAGGUUAAUACCCCGCUGUUCUGACGGUACCCAAAGAAUAAGCACCGGCUAACUUCGUG